UCAUGAUGGGAAUAGACCUCAAAAAACUGCACCAAAUUGCAAUAAUUAUGAAGUGAUAAUGGCUUAUUUGAGUGAAUUUGGGAAGGACACAUGCAAGGAAUUUGGGAAGGAGUUUAGAAAGGAAUAUGGUGUCCAACUCAGUUCGAGGAAGCUUGAAAAGAUAAAGAAGAAGCUUCAAAUGAAGAAGAACAAAAGUCAAUGUUUAACCUUUGCACUUAUGGUGCCUUGGAUUAUGUUUUCCAUUGUUUACAGAUCCAUGUAAUAUGUAUUUUAUAAGUUAUGGUCAAAUUAGGCAUUUUGAAGUUAUGUACUUUAUGUUUUUUCAUUGUGAAGUUCAUGUAAUAUGGAUCAAUAGAAAUGACAGUGUAUGAAUUCCUAUUUAUUAAUGAAAAUUUUGGUAUUUGUUAUUUCCAA
rnacentral:lncRNA from 1 species